rnacentral:sRNA from 1 species
AGCCUGGGUGACAGAGCAAGACUCGGUCUCAAAAAAAAAAAGAAGAAAAAGAAAAAUAUUUGAUGGUGGUCACUUUUGAAAUAAUUUUUUAACUGAACUCCUUUUUUUGGUAAUUGUAGGAGCAACUUUCAGCCAGAGGCAUGGAUGCUUCUCUGUCUCAUCAGUCCUUAGUAGCACUAUCAGAGAAUCCGUCUCUUGCUCAAGUGAAAAUUGAAGAAGCAAAGCGAGAACUAGUAAGUAGUUCCUGUAAUUUUUUCAGAUUUUUUUAAAAAGAAAAUAAAUGCUAAUAUAGCUAAAGUCUUCUUCAUCCUUCUUUCCUUUCUCCUCAGUGGUAAGCUGCAGUCCUAAAGUUACUGUGUAUCAUUCUCCUGCAUCUUUUAAUACUUUUUUGGCUGUGUACGUGUGUAUAUAUUUUUU